rnacentral:misc_RNA from 1 species
UUGACCUCGGAUCAGGUAC